rnacentral:rRNA from 1 species
AUUGAACGCUGGCGGCAGGCUUAACACAUGCAAGUCGAGCGGAGUUAUAGUGCUUGCACUAUAACUUAGCGGCGGACGGGUGAGUAAUGCUUAGGAAUCUGCCUAUUAAUGGGGGACAACGUUUCGAAAGGAACGCUAAUACCGCAUACGUCCUACGGGAGAAAGCAGGGACCUUCGGGCCUUGCGCUAUCAGAUGAGCCUAGGUCGGAUUAGCUAGUUGGUGGGGUAAUGGCUCACCAAGGCGACGAUCCGUAACUGGUCUGAGAGGAUGAUCAGUCACACUGGAACUGAGACACGGUCCAGACUCCUACGGGAGGCAGCAGUGGGGAAUAUUGGACAAUGGGCGAAAGCCUGACCCAGCCAUGCCGCGUGUGUGAAGAAGGUCUUCGGAUUGUAAAGCACUUUAAGUUGGGAGGAAGGGCAGUAAGCUAAUAUCUUGCUGUUUUGACGUUACCGACAGAAUAAGCACCGGCUAACUCUGUGCCAGCCGCCGCCGUAA